CGGCGUUUCGAUAUUUGAUCGUCUCACAAACAAGUAAUCGCCAUGAUGUUGAAAGCUGUCUGUCUCCUGGCUAUUUUGGCCGUGGCGUGUGCCGUCCCUGGAACAUACUUCUACCCAGGACCAGAUGGACGCAUCACAUACUACCCCAAGGGUUUUCAGCUCGACCGUGCAGCCCAGGUUCGUGGCGCAGCCAACUACGCCUCUAUUGCUGCCUCUGGUUUGAGCAGAUAUUUCAGGCGCGGUUCCUAUCGAAAACGCUACUACCAUUAGGCUUGCUGCGGCGCCAGGACGUCUUACUGGUAAAUACCGGCCAACACAAUUUUGGGCAGCACAAAUAUCCGAAGAGCAAAAGAACCUCAGUGAAUUACCAUAAAGCAGUAUGCAACAUUCAGAAUCCGGGUUUUGGUACACGCACAUCUCAAACGAUGGACAUGACAUAAUUGCGCCGCCUGGCUUUGUUAUAACGACUUCACCUAUACAACCUUGUAUUUUACCUAGUCAAAUCUUGUGAGAUGUUCCUAUCAAUUGUUUAACAAUAAAACAAUUUGAUUGCCAAACCA